GACGUAGGGCGCGAGCGUUGUCCGGAUUUAUUGGGCGUAAAGAGCUCGUAGGCGGCUUGUCGCGUCGUUCGUGAAAACCUGCAGCUCAACUGCAGGCUUGCGGUCGAUACGGGCAGGCUAGAGUUCGGUAGGGGAGACUGGAAUUCCUGGUGUAGCGGUGAGAUGCGCAGAUAUCAGGAGGAACACCGGUGGCGAAGGCGGGUCUCUGGGCCGAUAUUGACGCUGAGGCACGAAAGCGUGGGGAGCAAACAGG
rnacentral:rRNA from 1 species